AGACUGAGAGCUCUGGUGUGAGGCUUGGGAGACUCAGGCAUCAUGUGUCAUUUCAGCAGAGUCAUCAUGAGCCAGCACCAGAGGCUGUGGCCAGGGCGGGCAAGGCUGGGAGAGGCUGCCUCUGUUUGCAAAUGAGCCGCUAUCACAAGCAGGUUGUGAUUCAACAGGAGAUUUGGAUAAUCCAUUCCUUUCUCUCAUGUUUUGCUUUAAUCUUCACAGGCUGAAGGCCAGGGCUGUUUGCCAGGUUUCAAAGGGCAGCUGGCUAGAGCAAAAGAUAAAAGUACGGAAGGAACCCCUACCCAGUUCAACCUCUGUACAAGUCAGUCACGUCUGGGGACACAUCCUAAUGUCACAAAGCCCUCAUCCCCCCAACCUCCGCAGAAGUCCUCCCCCACCUUCAGCCACAGGAGCGGAAAGAGAGCCUCUUUUUGAAUCUGGGUCUCCAGGAGCUGCUUCAGCCGGGCCUGUGGUCUUGGGCAGGAACCCAUGAGCGUAUUCAGGGCUGGUUGGUGCUUUCUGGCUGUUGGUUACGCGGUGCCUCUUAUGUCAAUAUUGGUCUUGCCUGGGCAAGGGUAGGCUUGCCAAGCCACCUUGGGAAAACAGAAGACCUCUGCCCAGGUCCUGCUCUGGCCUUUCAUCACCUGUCAACCCUGCUCUCCUUAUCCUGGGCCAAUGAACUGAUAAGGCCACUCUGUACAAAAUCCAACUAUUUUGCCUUGUGGUUAGGCUGGGAUUCAAACAGCUCCUUGGUGUAUUAAACACAAGCAAUGAUAACUGGCUACCAUACAAUAGAACUGAAAGGCCUGACUCUGACACUGAGUUGCUGUGUGAACUUAGGCAACCCUUAUCCAUCUGAGGACCUGAGAUUCUUUUGAGCAAGAAGGAAAGAAGUGGGUUGGGAUCAUGCUGCAAUCUGCUUUGGCUGCCAUAGCAACAUACCGCAGAUUGAGUGAUUUAAGUCAUCAGAAGUUAUUUUCUCAUGGCUCUGGAGGUUGGAGUGCAAGAUCAAGGUGACAGCAGAGAUGGUUUUUCUGGAGGCUUUCUUCCUUGGCUUGCAGAAUUCUGUCCCCCUGUUGCCACCACCCCUGGGGAGUUCUCUGGUAACACAGGUGCCCUUGGGGUCUCUAUGUUCAAAUUUCCUCUUCUUAUGAGGACACUGGACAUAUUGGAUGAGGGUCCACCACAAUGUCCUCAUUUUAGUGUCAUCUUCUUUCUGUCUUCAAAUACAGUCACUUUCUGAGUUACUGCAGGUUAGACUUCCACACAUGAAUUCCAGGGCUCACAAUUCCAUCUAUAAUAGUGUAUAUGACUAGAGAGCUAAGGGUGUUUUUCUCACUUUGGGUUUCACAGAAACAGAGCCGAGACAAGGAUUCAAGUGCAGGUGAUUAAUUUGGGAAGAUGUGGGAAAUAGCGAUGGGGUGAGACUGUGAGGUAGGGAAGGCACAGCUGCCCACGAGGGGUCCUUAUGUGGCCACUUCUCACUUGGCUCCUUGGAGCUCAAGACUGGGAGAAAACUGGGUGGGGGGAGAAUUUGGUCCAUCUAACAGGCGAGGGCGCUGGGUUAUUUGGACACCAGGUCCAUUCAGCUAUUGACUGACAGCUACUCCCGGGGAUGGGAGGGUCUUGGGACCCUGGUGUCGCUGUCCUGCCGUGCAUAGAAUGGCCUUGCUCCACUUCAGGAAAUCCUUCAAGCAGGAAGGAGCUCCUGGCAGGUGGGAGUUGUUGGAAGUCACCUGAGGCCACUGAGCUGUGCUGUGAGGCCCAAGGGGAACGGCCAGCCAUUGACAGUGGCUACUGUACACUCUGGUUCUGAAGGCCACGCUCAGGGCUGGGUGAGUGUGCACACACCUGCUUGGGGUAGGAACAGAGACACAAUUGGCAAAGUCCCUGUGUCAUAGAUUACAAAUUAUUGGCAACCAUCCUGCAUCUGUCCCAAAGCUGUGCAGGGGCUCAGACAUGAUCGGAAUGGGUUUCUUGCUCACGUGACAUCCAGGAAGCUGGUGUAGAUAAGGGAGCAGCUGUUACCCAAGUACAAAUCAGGGACUUGGUCUCUGGCAGUCAUGUACCUUCCUGAUCCCCGAGGGCCUCCGAGCCUUACCUCCAGCUGGCUGGAGGGGAAGAGCCAGUGUGGAGGAGGCCCAGCUGCCUCCUCGCUGUGCUGACCCCACCCAACCCCGCCUGAUGCCGCUCCUACGCCAUCGGCCAUCACCAAUCUCGUGGCUGCAGUUAAAUGCGAGGGGAAUUUUCCAAAAUUUUUUCUAUGAAAAUAAAAAUUUAUAUUUC